rnacentral:misc_RNA from 1 species
CCUUUCUUGGUGCACCAUCUUUUUCGAUAGAAGGCUGAAAAGGAUAAAAGCCCCGGCUAAACAUGCUCAGAACUCAAUUUGAAAUCUUCAUUUGAAUUGAGGAGUACUCAAUAUGGCAGGAGUUGUUCUGUCAAGUGGGGACUCUUCCACAUGUGCAUCCGUCAUGGAGAACAUUGGAUCGAAUACCCAGCGUGUUUUGUCAGAAGACGAAGAAAACAAGUUGAAGAAACAGGAUCAGACUCUAGUUUCUGAAUUUAAAAGUAUGAAGCUGGAAGCUGAAGCCAAGAGAAAUUGGGAUCUAUUCUACAAAAGAAAUGAUACAAGGUUUUUCCGAGACAGACACUGGACAACUCGGGAGUUCGAGCAAUUGCUUGGAAUUGAAGGCGAGGGAAAGAAAAUUUUAUUGGAAGUAGGUUGUGGAGUUGGAAACUUCCUAUUUCCGUUGUUGGAGGAAAAUGAAGACCUUUUCAUCUACGGAUGCGAUUUUUCACCUCGAGCUGUUGAUUUUGUCAAGCGUGAUUCCAGGUUUAAUCCAGAGAGGAUGAAUGUGUUCGUCAGUGAUAUAACCGAAGACAGUUUGAAGGAUUUUGUUCCUGAACCUGUUGAUGUAGUCAGCCUCAUCUUUGUCCUGUCAGCUAUACAUCCAGACAAAUUCCUUCCGGCGCUUUUCUCAGUUGCUUCGGUCCUUCGUCCUGGAGGUGCCCUAAUAUUUCGAGAUUAUGGCCUUUAUGACAUGGCUCAGCUUCGAUUUGGGAGGGGGAAUAAAAUAAGUGAAAACUUCUAUGUUAGGCAGGAUGGUACCAGGUCUUAUUUUUUCUCUGUGGAAUGUUUGAACCAGUUGGCGAUGGAGGCUGGAUUUGAUGUUUUCACCUGCCACUAUGUAAAUAGGAGGACCAUCAAUAAAAAAGAAGGGGUAGAUGAACCCCGUGUGUUUAUCCAGGGGAAAUUCAUAAAAAAAUGAGGUCUGACUGCUGCAGUGUUUCAUUCAAUAUUUGCAAUUUUGAGGUCAUCUGAAUAUAAGGAAGAUAUUGCGUUCUGAUUUAAUUCUUGCUAAGACUCGUUUUGGAGAUGCUUCACUGUUAUAACAACGUCUUUUUCUUGUUAGGUUCGGCGAUUUUGGAGUGGUGUUUCGUCUUCCAGAGUGAUGUCUUCACAGGGGAGUUCCGUAUGAUUACUAUGCAAGAUGUAGCGGAAUUUAUACUAUAUGAGGAGUUGGAAUUUUGGUCAAUAAAAUAAUUUCAAAAUUGA